GAUGAACGCUGGCGGCGUGCUUAACACAUGCAAGUCGAACGGAAAGGCCCCCUUGUGGGGUACUCGAGUGGCGAACGGGUGAGUAACACGUGAGUAACCUACCCUUGACUUUGGGAUAACUUCAGGAAACUGGGGUUAAUACCGGAUAGGAGCUCCUGCUGCAUGGUGGGGGUUGGAAAGUUUCGGCGGUUGGGGAUGGACUCGCGGCUUAUCAGCUUGUUGGUGGGGUAGUGGCUCACCAAGGCUUUGACGGGUAGCCGGCCUGAGAGGGUGACCGGCCACAUUGGGACUGAGAUACGGCCCAGACUCCUACGGGAGGCAGCAGUGGGGAAUAUUGCACAAUGGGCGGAAGCCUGAUGCAGCAACGCCGCGUGCGGGAUGACGGCCUUCGGGUUGUAAACCGCUUUCGCCUGUGACGAAGCGUGAGUGACGGUAAUGGGUAAAGAAGCACCGGCUAACUACGUG
rnacentral:rRNA from 1 species